ACGAGAGACUUGCUGAAGGAGAAACAAACUGUGAAGUCUGACCCUAGGGAAUGAGUGCUAUGCGGAUCAGAUCAAGAGAGGGCGGCUGCCUGGCUCUGAUGCUUCCCAGACUUGGGACCCAAAACUCAAGAAGACAACGAAACAUAGUUUUUGCUCUUGUUGCCCAGGCUGGAGUGCAAUGGCAUCAUCUCAGCUUACCACAACCUCUCUCCCGGAUUCAAGCAAUUCUCCUGCCUCAG
rnacentral:lncRNA from 1 species